CAUAAGACUCUCGGCAACGGAUAUCUUGGCUCUUGCAUCGAUGAAGAACGUAGCAAAAUGCGAUACCUGGUGUGAAUUGCAGAAUCCCGUGAACCAUCGAGUUUUUGAACGCAAGUUGCGCCCGAGGCCUCUUGGUUGAGGGCACGUCUGACUGGGWGUCACAC
rnacentral:rRNA from 1 species